GUUCACUUGUUAGAUUUUCAAUGGAUGUUUGGCUACUUCUGGUGUUGGCACAUAAUAAUUUUCGAGCGGUAGAGAGAGGAGGGCGGGCGUGCGUGUCUCUGCCGCGAUCUUGUGCAUGCUCUGCUCGGCCCAAGCAAGCAAGAAGCAAUAGGUUUCAAAAUCAUAAAAGGAAGAUUUUCUUGCAUGGGCUACUCUUUACUUGUUCAUUUAGCAGCAUUGUGAUAACAAUUGAGAGUGGAAGAUUGGGAUUGUAAGAUGAUUUGUGAUCCAUUUUACAAACAGCUAAAUCAAAGGGAUGACAUGGUUUCUCUCCUUCGUUCUAAUAUCUGCUGGUUGGGGGCAUCCUUUAUUUGAAUUAUUUCAUUCUCUUUUAUGGUACAUAAUGAUUUAAAGGGGCUAUGAUGAUGGUGCCCAAGCAGAUGUUGCAAGGUGAUCCUAGGAGGUCUAAAUGCAGGCAACUGAUUUCCUUGCUGUUUCAUACUGCAUGUAUACAUUUUGAUAAUUCUUCAAUAGCAGCAGCAGCAACAGCAUCUUCAUCAUCAUCAUCAACUUCUUCUUUUUCUUCAGACCUAAAACCAAAUGGAUCACAUGCAUUAUCAGUCUAUAUAUCAUUUUGAUGAUGAAAAAUGGGCAAAUCCGAGCUUCCUUAUUUGACACAAAUGAGAUUCUCUAAAAUUUGAAACUUUUUGGGAAUUUGUAUGAUUUUAAUUGAUUCAUUUUAUGUGAGUUUUCUUAAUUAAAA